rnacentral:rRNA from 1 species
CCUACGGGUGGCAGCAGGGAGGAAUAUUGGGCAAUGGACGAGAGUCUGAACCAGCCAAGUAGCGUGAAGGAUGACUGCCCUAUGGGUUGUAAACUUCUUUUAUAUGGGAAUAAAACGUUCCACGUGUGGGAUUUUGUAUGUACCAUAUGAAUAAGGAUCGGCUAACUCCGGGCCAGCAGCCGCGGUAAUACGGAGGGUCCGAGCGUUAUCCGGAUUUAUUGGGUUUAAAGGGAGCGUAGGUGGAUUGUUAAGUCAGUUGUGAAAGUUUGCGGCUCAACCGUAAAAUUGCAGUUGAAACUGGCAGUCUUGAGUACAGUAGAGGUGGGCGGAAUUCGUGGUGUAGCGGUGAAAUGCUUAGAUAUCACGAAGAACCCCGAUUGCGAAGGCAGUUCACUGGACUGCAACUGACACUGAGGCUCGAAAGUGUGGGUAUCAAACAGGAUUAGAUACCCUUGUAGUC